rnacentral:rRNA from 1 species
GCACGGGUGAGUAACACGUGAAUAAUCUACCUCCGAGUGGGGAAUAACUGAGAGAAAUCUUAGCUAAUACCGCAUAACACUUACGAGUCAAAGCAGCAAUGCGCUUGGAGAGGAGUUCGCGGCAGAUUAGUUAGUUGGCGGGGUAAUGGCCCACCAAGACGAUGAUCUGUAUCCGGCCUGAGAGGGCGCACGGACAUACUGGAACUGAAACACGGUCCAGACUCCUACGGGAGGCAGCAGUGGGGAAUUUUGCGCAAUGGGGGAAACCCUGACGCAGCAACGCCGCGUGGAGGAUGAAGUAUCUCGGUACGUAAACUCCUUUCGAUGGGGAAGACGAUGACGGUACCCAUAGAAGAAGCCCCGGCUAACUUCGUGCCAGCAGCCGCGGUAAUACGAGGGGGGCAAGCGUUGUUCGGAUUUAUUGGGCGUAAAGGGUGCGUAGGCGGUUUGGCAAGUCUUGUGUGAAAUCUAUGGGCUCAACCCAUAGCCUGCACGAGAAACUACCGGGCUUGAGUGAUGGAGAGGUGAGUGGAAUUUCCGGUGUAGCGGUGAAAUGCGUAGAUAUCGGAAGGAACACCUGUG